rnacentral:rRNA from 1 species
CCUUGUACACACCGCCCGUCACACCAUGGGAGUGGGUUGCAAAAGAAGUAGGUAGCUUAACCUUCGGGAGGGCGCUUACCACUUUGUGAUUCAUGACGUGGGGUG